rnacentral:rRNA from 1 species
UACGGGGGGAGCAAGCGUUGUUCGGAUUUACUGGGCGUAAAGGGCGCGUAGGCGGCGCAACAAGUCACUUGUGAAAUCUCCGGGCUUAACCCGGAGCGGCCAAGUGAUACUGUCGUGCUAGAGUGCGGAAGGGGCUACUGGAAUUCUCGGUGUAGCGGUGAAAUGCGUAGAUAUUGGAAAGAACACCGAUGGCGAAGGCACUCUACUGGGCUAUUACUGACACUCAGAGACGAAAGCUAGGGGAGCGAAUGGG